rnacentral:rRNA from 1 species
CAUAUCAAUAAGCGGAGGAAAAGAAACCAACAGGGAUUGCCUCAGUAACGGCGAGUGAAGCGGCAACAGCUCAAAUUUGAAAUCUGGCCCCCAGGGUCCGAGUUGUAAUUUGUAGAGGAUGCUUUUGGUGAGGUGCCUUCCGAGUUCCCUGGAACGGGACGCCAUAGAGGGUGAGAGCCCCGUCUGGUUGGACACCGAGCCUCUGUAAAGCUCCUUCGACGAGUCGAGUAGUUUGGGAAUGCUGCUCUAAAUGGGAGGUAUAUGUCUUCUAAAGCUAAAUAUUGGCCAGAGACCGAUAGCGCACAAGUAGAGUGAUCGAAAGAUGAAAAGCACUUUGAAAAGAGGGUUAAAAAGUACGUGAAAUUGUUGAAAGGGAAGCGCUCAUGACCAGACUUGGGCUUGGCGAAUCAUCCAGCGUUCUCGCUGGUGCACUUCGCCUCGUUCAGGCCAGCAUCAGUUUGUCCCGGGGGAUAAAAGCUUCGGGAACGUGGCUGCUUCGGCAGUGUUAUAGCCCGCUGCAUAAUACCCUGGGGUGGACUGAGGUUCGCGCUCCGCAAGGAUGCUGGCGUAAUGGUCAUCAGCGACCCGUCUUGAAACACGGACCAAGGAGUCGUCUUCGUAUGCGAGUGUUCGGGUGUCAAACCCCUACGCGUAAUGAAAGUGAACGCAGGUGAGAGCUUCGGCGCAUCAUCGACCGAUCCUGAUGUUCUCGGAUGGAUUUGAGUAAGAGCAUACGGGGCCGGACCCGAAAGAAGGUGAACUAUGCCUGUAUAGGGUGAAGCCAGAGGAAACUCUGGUGGAGGCUCGCAGCGGUUCUGACGUGCAAAUCGAUCGUCAAAUAUGGGCAUGGGGGCGAAAGACUAAUCGA